rnacentral:rRNA from 1 species
AACGAACGCUGGCGGCAGGCUUAACACAUGCAAGUCGAGCUCCCCGCAAGGGGAGCGGCAGACGGGUGAGUAACGCGUGGGAAUCUACCCAUCUCUACGGAAUAACGCAUGGAAACGUGUGCUAAUACCGUAUACGUCCUUCGGGAGAAAGAUUUAUCGGAGAUGGAUGAGCCCGCGUUGGAUUAGCUAGUUGGUGGGGUAAAGGCCUACCAAGGCGACGAUCCAUAGCUGGUCUGAGAGGAUGAUCAGCCACACUGGGACUGAGACACGGCCCAGACUCCUUCGGGAGGCAGCAGUGGGGAAUAUUAGACAAUGGGCGCACGCCUGAUCCAACCAUGCCGCGUGAGUGAUGAAGGCCAUAGGGUUGUAAAGCUCUUUCACCGGUGAAGAUAAUGACGGUAACCGGAGAAGAAGCCCCCGCUAACUUCCUGCCAGCCGCCGCGGUAACAC